rnacentral:rRNA from 1 species
AGAGUGAACGCUGGCGGUAGGCCUAACACAUGCAAGUCGAACGGCAGCACAGUGGUAGCAAUACCAUGGGUGGCGAGUGGCGGACGGGUGAGGAAUACAUCGGAAUCUACCUUUUCGUGGGGGAUAACGUAGGGAAACUUACGCUAAUACCGCAUACGCCCUUUGGGGGAAAGCCGGGGAUCGCAAGACCUGGCGCGGAUAGAUGAGCCGAUGUCGGAUUAGCUAGUUGGUGAGGUAAUGGCUCACCAAGGCGACGAUCCGUAGCUGGUCUGAGAGGAUGAUCAGCCACACUGGAACUGAGACACGGUCCAGACUCCUACGGGAGGCAGCAGUGGGGAAUAUUGGACAAUGGGCGCAAGCCUGAUCCAGCCAUACCGCGUGGGUGAAGAAGGCCUUGGUUGUAAAGCCCGUUUUUGUAGGAAAGAAAGCAAGUCGGUUAAUACCCGUUGUUCUGACGUACCAAAGAAUAAGCACCGCUAACUCGUGCCAGCAGCCGCGUAAU